UGAACGACUCUCGGCAACGGAUAUCUACGGCUCUUGCAUCGAUGAAGAACGUAGCGAAAUGCGAUACUUGGUGUGAAUUGCAGAAUCCCGUGAACCAUCGAGUCUUUGAACGCAAGUUGCGCCUGAAGCCAUUAGGUUGAAGGCACGUCUGCCUGGGCGUCACGCA
rnacentral:rRNA from 1 species